GAACAACAAGGACUUGGGGGUGAAAUACUCGAACAUAGAUGGUUUUGAUAUGCAUCGAUUGGCUACGUCUAUACCUGAAACAGAAUCCACAGAAAGUCAGGUAACUAAGGUGUCGAAACUGGAGGAAAAGGAACAUGGACAACACACAGAGAGUGAUUCCUCCCUAACCAAUUCACGAGACUCCAUCAUCUUGAGGGCUGCCACAGAGAUGCUAGCAUUUUGCCAAGCUGGUGGGAUAAAAAAGAAGCGAUCGAUCCGAGCCCGCCGGAUUUCUUUUGUCCCUAUUAUGGAUAUUGAGAAAAAUAAGUCACAAGCAUUCGCAAGGUUACCUCAGUCAUGCAUGGAGGCCCUGUAUGAAAGUUCUUGCAUUAAAUUUGCGACCAAGAAACGUUCACAGAAGGAACGACUUCAUUCCCCCAGUUCCAUUCAACCAAAUAUGGACAAGAAAAGCAUGUUUUCUUCCAGAAGCAUUUUCUCUGGUGGAUCUAAUGGGUUAAAAGGAUCAGAGGGGACUUUCCAGCAGACUUUACCUCAGGCUCCAGAUAAUAGAAGAAUCAACCUUGAUAUUUA
rnacentral:lncRNA from 1 species